rnacentral:ncRNA from 1 species
CGAAAAGCGUUGAAGAGGAAAGUAUAGUAGGGACGUUUGAUAGAGAGCUUCUGAUGGUGGAAAUGAAGCAAACAAACCUAGUGGAAAAUGGCCUCGGAGCUGCGUACCGAACGAAUAGUAGGCUACGACGAGAAAGGCACUCGUUACAACAGCAGCAGUAUCUCGCAUGCGACGUACUGAAUGAGGCUAAUGGUGUGAGCUAUUAGUGAAUAUAGGUGGUAUCACGUUAAUUCAACGUCCUAAUC